rnacentral:rRNA from 1 species
GAUGAACGCUGGCGGCGUGCCUAAUACAUGCAAGUCGAGCGAACAGACGAGGAGCUUGCUCCUCUGACGUUAGCGGCGGACGGGUGAGUAACACGUGGAUAACCUACCUAUAAGACUGGGAUAACUUCGGGAAACCGGAGCUAAUACCGGAUAAUAUAUUGAACCGCAUGGUUCAAUAGUGAAAGACGGUUUUGCUGUCACUUAUAGAUGGAUCCGCGCCGCAUUAGCGAGUUGGUAAGGUAACGGCUUACCAAGGCAACGAUGCGUAGCCGACCUGAGAGGGGUAUCGGGCACACGGGGACUGACACACAGACCAGGCUCGUGCGGGGGGCAGGAGUAGGGAAUGUGCCGCAAGGGGCGAAAGCCGGACGGAGCGACGCCGCGUGAGGGAUGAAGGUCGUCGGAUCGUAAAACUCUUUUAUUUGGGAAGAACAAAUGUGUAAGUAACUAUGCACGUCUAGACGGUACCUAAUCAGAAAGCCGCGGCUAACUACG